GUAUAUACCAAAAAAAAUUAUACAAAAACUAGAUACUCCCCACUACUAAGUGAAAAGUUCGGGGGGUCGGCCGCCCCCUCCCACCCUACUUAAGUUGUGCCCAUGGAUCAAGCUAGCCGGAUUGGUUGGGUCAACUAGACUGGUUUGACUUAUGUUAACCAUUUCAAGCUAAAAACUUUUCAAAAUACAGAUUAUAAGCAAAACUAUAUAAAUCUCAGACCAGCCAAUCCAUCUUGAUGCAAUAUUCAACAGUUAAAUCGAUUAUCAAGUUAUGAAUAUUCUACUAAAACCUUUGUAUGUCAUUUAUUGAAAUGAAUAUUUGGCCAUUUUGUGAGAUUUUAUGUAUAGAGAGAGAUUGCUGACCAUUGACCAAUCUUCUUGAUGUGAGAGUUAUUCCCUGUCCAUAAGCAUAUGGCAAAUUAUGGCCAUUUUUGGGGAUUUUGUUACAAACGCCAUUAUAUCACGAAUUUAAUGGAAGAUUCAUUCAUCAACAUGUUAGAACAGUGAACACCAUCCCUUUCUUCAACUUUAUCCAACAGCUCCCAUCAUAAUUAUCCUUGAGUAACAUGUUUGAGUGAUCAUAAGUAUAUGUCUCUGAUAAUUGUAACUCUUGUAUGAUUUAUUUCCUAUUUUGGUUCCAGAAACUUCCUAGGUUGUCAACAUCGGCACUUCAUGAUCUACCUUAUAAGAGAAAGAAGACUAGAAGCGGGUGUAGGGCAUUUAAAACCUCUAUGGUCACCAAAGGAUCACACAAAUUACUCAAGUUUUUCAAGAUACUGACAUUGGUUAAUCAAGAUAAUGACAAAACUGCA
rnacentral:lncRNA from 1 species